rnacentral:tRNA from 1 species
GCCUUCAUGGUGUAGUGGUCAGCAUGCUCGACGUGUAUUCGAGAGGUCCGUGGUUCGAGUCCCGGCGAGGACA